UACGUAGGGGGCAAGCGUUGUCCGGAUUUAUUGGGCGUAAAGAGCGUGUAGGCGGUUUGGUAGGUCCGCUGUGAAACCUCCAGGCUCAACCUGGAGACGCCACUCGAUACUGGCGUGACUAGAGUUCGGUAGGGGACCACGGAAUUCCUGGUGUAGCGGUGAAAUGCGCAGAUAUCAGGAGGAACACCAGUGGCGAAGGCGGUGGUCUGGGCCGAUACUGACGCUGUAGAGCGAAAGCGUGGGGAGCAAAACGG
rnacentral:rRNA from 1 species